GAUGAACGCUAGCGACAGGCUUAAAACAUGCAAGUCGAGGGGCAGCGGGGAUUUAGCUUGCUAAAUCUGCCGGCGACCGGCGAACGGGUGAGUAACACGUGAGCAACCUGCCCUAGAGUGGGGGACAACAUUUGGAAACGAAUGCUAAUACCGCAUAAGACCACGGUGUCACAUGACACAGCGGCCAAAGGAUUUAUUCGCUUUAGGAUGGGCUCGCGUCUGAUUAGCUAGAUGGUGGGGUAACGGCUCACCAUGGCGACGAUCAGUAGCCGGACUGAGAGGUCGAUCGGCCACAUUGGGACUGAGAUACGGCCCAGACUCCUACGGGAGGCAGCAGUGGGGAAUAUUGGGCAAUGGGCGAAAGCCUGACCCAGCGACGCCGCGUGGAGGAAGAAGGUUUUCGGAUUGUAAACUCCUGUCUUCGGGGAAGAUAAUGACGGUACCCGAGGAGGAAGCCACGGCUAACUACGUGCCAGCAGCCGCAGUAAAAC
rnacentral:rRNA from 1 species